rnacentral:tRNA from 1 species
GUAAUAGUAGUAUAAGACAAGUAUGCUGUCUUUCCAAGUCAGAGGUCCAUGUGUUGGCUGUUACA